rnacentral:lncRNA from 10 species
ACUGUGCUGGGUCAGACCUGCGGUCAGCAUGGCACCGGCUCUCACUCAAGGCCCAUGGUAACCACUGCCUGCCUAUUGCCUAUGUUUGCUCAAGAUACUAGAACUCUACAAUCAGCAGAUAGCAAAGCCAGCCAGGUUUGUGUCUUUCCCUUCAGGGUGGCAAGGUCUCCCUAGCCCUGGGUAGGUCCAGAGAUGCCAUCCAGGAGCCAGGGCCUGGAGUU